CUCGCGCGCAAAUAUUAUUAACUAUUAAGCUAGCUAGUACCUAUUCCAUUUAUGUGGCGUCGUCAAAGAUGGAAUCAGCAUGCAGAUGAUGCAGAGCAGGCAACAGAUGGCACACAGACAGCAGAGUUGGAGACAGAUAUGCAGGGACAGACUGGCAGAGACAGGGAGUCUCAGUUGAAUCUCACUGACAUCAUCCGGCAGUAAGAAGAUGUCCACUCCACACCAGUAUUUCCCAGCAACCUUCAGGCUCAGUGUAUAUAUGACGACGGUGAAGACUGCAGCAGUGAUGUUGUCGUACACAGAGAAUCUCCCUUCUCUAACCCAGACGUCAUGCUUCCUGGUCCGAAGCUUCUUCAUGUGUCCCUCCACUCCCCUCACAGAGGAGCUUCCCUUCAUCCCAGAUGUCAUCUUGUUCUCUAUAGAGCACUGCCUUUGACCAGGGUCCAUUUGGGGGAAAGGUAAUAGGGUGCCAUUUGGGACACAUUCCUUGUAUAUAUUCUAUAGUACUACAUUAUUUUGGGUGGCUGGGCUGUAGAGUAGAUGGUGUCUUCUGGAGUGUCUUUAGAGAGGUGUACAGCAGGGUAUCUUGUAGAUUCUACAGUAUCUUUGGGUAGCUGGGCUGUAGAAUAGAUGGAAUCAUCCUGGGUUCCACUGGCUGUUGGAGGGCUUGAAGAGACUCUAGAAUCUUUGGGUAGAGAUCCAUAUUGGAGUAGAUGAGAGAAGCUGGGUGAUCUGCAGUAGAAUAGCUUGGAUUUCUAUAAUCUUUGUGGCAGCUUGCAUUAGCAUAGAUGUCACAGUGUGGGACACCGAUAGCAUGGCCAGCAGGGUAGGUGAGAGACGCUUGGUCAGCAGGGUAGGUAGUAGAGGCUUGGUCAGCAGGGUAGGUUGUAGAAGCUUGGCCAGCAGGGUAGGUUGUAGAGACUUGGCCAGCAGGGUAGGUUGUAGUGGCUUGGUCAGCAGGGUAGGUUGUAGAGGGUUGGCCAGCAGAGUAGGUUGUAGAGACUUGGCCAGUAGGGAAGGUUGUAGAGUGUUGGCCAGCAGGGUAGGUUGUAGAGACUUGGCCAGCAGGGUAGGUAGUAGAGACUUGGCCAGCAGGGUAGGUUGUAGAGACUUGGCCAGCAGGGUAGGUUGUAGAGACUUGGCCAGCAGGGUAGGUUGUAGAGACUUGGCCAGCAGGGUAGGUUGUAGAGGGUUGGCCAGCAGGGCAGGUUGUAGAGGUUUGACCAGCAGGGUAGGUUGUAGAGACUAGGCCAGCAGGGUAGGUAGUAGAGACUUGGCCAGCAGGGUAGGUUGUAGAGACUUGGCCAGCAGGGUAGGUUGUAGAGACUUGGCCAGCAGGGUAGGUUGUAGAGACUUGGCCAGCAGGGUAGGUUGUAGAGGGUUGGUCAGCAGGGUAGGUUGUAGAGGGUUGGCCAGAAGGGUAGGUUGUAGGUGAAUUGACAGUAGAGUAGACUAAAGAGAUGACCACAGGGAGUGUGUCUGUCUGUCUGUCUGCCUCUCUGAUCUCCUCAUACACACAGUCAACCUGCAUACAGAACCAAAGACAAUAAAUACAUGUUCAAAUAUGGAAAGAAGUCGAAGGUCCUCAACAAUCAACAACAUGUUAGCCACUGUAUUUCAUCAUGGAAUGAUAACAGACGACAGUACAAUCCAAUUAGAGGCUAUAGACUCACACACUCAACCCUAAGAUGUUUAGUUUACCACCUGCCUGUCUAUCACCACUACAAUAAAAGUUGUUAUGGACACACACACACGCACACACCACACACCCUGAUAUCUCUCACCUCUCCAGUAGGGUCAGGUUGUGUGUUGGAGGAGACUGGUGGUAGUGGUGGUGUUCUCCUGGUUCCUCUCCUCUGUCUGUAGAACAGGAGCAGGACCAGUCCUAACACUGUCACCAUGACUACCAGACCAGCACUGGUCCACACCAUCAGACCUGACCACAGACAGGAGGAGAGACUUUACAGAGUACUGUAUAUAUCAUAGAUACCAUCAGACCUGACCACAGACAGGAGGAGAGACUUUACAGAGUACUGUAUAUAUCAUAGAUACCAUCAGACCUGACCACAGACAGGAGGAGAGACUUUACAGAGUACUGUAUAUAUCAUAGAUACCAUCAGACCUGACCACAGAGAGGAGGAGAGACUUUACAGAGUACUGUAUAUAUCAUAGAUACCAUCAGACCUGACCACAGACAGGAGAGACUUUACAGAGUACUGUAUAUAUCAUAGAUACCAUCAGACCUGACCACAGACAGGAGGAGAGACUUUACAGAGAACUGUAUAUAUCAUAGAUACCAUCAGACCUGACCACAGACAGGAGGAGAUACUUUACAGAGCACUGUAUAUAUCAUAGAUACCAUCAGACCUGACCACAGACAGGAGGAGAUACUUUACAGAGUACUGUAUAUAUCAUAGAUACCAUCAGACCUGACCACAGACAGGAGGAGAUACUUUACAGAGUACUGUAUAUAUCAUAGAUACCAUCAGACCUGACCACAGACAGGAGGAGAG
rnacentral:lncRNA from 1 species